GGGUUCAGGAACUUAAAGGUUUCUGGAGGAUUUUGAUGGUCGGGCCGCCAUCU
rnacentral:ncRNA from 1 species